AUGAAAAUACAUUCAAUUCAAUUUUAUUCAUAAAGCGCAUUUCAUGUUAUUCAAAGUGCUUUACAGUACAUAGAAAUAAGUAAACAAUCUAAGAAAAAAAAUCUGUCAGAGACAUUUAAAUUCACAAUAAAAACAAAGAUAAAUGAAAAUUUAAAAUAACAAUUAAAAGAAAAUAAAUGUGAUUUUAAUAAAAAUCCUUUUAACGGUCUUGCCUUGCCUUGAAUGAUGUAUCAGGUAAUAAUAUAAUGAUAGUUUAAUUCCAAAGAUAACACUUUCAAUGCCUUAUGUGGCUGUUACACUUUCACCUGUCUACACCGCGAUUUCUUGGCAAAAAGCUACAGUGUAAAGCCAAGUUCAACUUCAUAAUACAAUUCAUAGUAUUCAUGAAUGGCCUGUGAUCUGGGCCUCGUGAGUUGCAAUUUGGUGACCUAGUUCUAUCAUCUUCUGCAUUCCUAGUAAUAAAUGUAGAAGAAGCGGUUUCUCGUUCUAAGCAUGUAAAUUGUUUGCAACAAGCAUUUGAAUGUGGUUUCCUCCCUCCUAUCUCCCACACUUGUUACCCUCAUUAUUAUUGUCACACCCAGGUCAAAUGUCAUAUUUUAAUGGUUGCUUAAUCUUUCCUACGAAUUGAAUUCAGCUUUCACAAUGUUUGUUUUUAGUUCAUUGUUGUUUUGUUUAUCUUACACUAGUGUGAUUGAUGGGUCGGAAGUAGGGAAUUUCAAACAAAAUUCACACUCAGUGUCUGGAAUGCAGCAUAUACAAAUAAGGAACUAAUGAACAUUGGUGAAAAAGACAAAAACCUAAACCUCAGGGGACCAAAAGAAAUAAGGUGGGAUUUUCCAGAGAGCAGGUUUAGCAGCUAAGGAAAUGUAAUUGUGGGAAGACCAGCAUAUUUAACUCCAUCACUAAAGUAAUAACACACAUGAACCAGCAAAUCCAGGUCUUCAGGAUUACUUGAAAAUUACAGGCGGGUGUUUAAUGAGGGUUUGAUUAGGCCUUGGCUAUGAUACUGUUGGGUGUGGAACCAUAUGUACAGUAACAUGAAAGCAGUAAAACUCUAAUAAAGCAUCAGUAAACUUUACUUCACAAAUCUUCUUAAUCACUGUUGAUUCAGUCUCGCAUACGGCAGAUUUGGGAUUCAAUAUUCAUUUUAGGUUCAUUAAAAGAUCCACAUCUCAUGGGCCUGACCAUUAUAAAUAUUUUUUGGGGGAUGACUCAGUGGAUUAGGAAUUCAUCACAACAGUGGAAACUUCAUUUCUUGUAAAGAGCAUUUCUUGCACAUGUGCCAAAGAUUCCAGUCAGCGUCCAUCCACUAACUGGAAAGUCAAAGGAUCUUAUACCACGGCUGACCCAAGACCUGUCUCUUCCAGGGAAGAUGGGUUCUGCAUGUACGAGGCUGUGUCAGACUCAUCGUUUUCAUGCAGGUGGUCUGGGUCCAGAAUCGGUGACAUCUAUUGUAAUAAAGGGAUUAUUAAUUAAACAGCACAUCUAAAGUAUUACUUUAAAUAAAAAUU